rnacentral:lncRNA from 7 species
AAUCUUUCUCAUGGACGCACGGACAUGCCUGCUUUCUCGGGCGUGCUAGGCGCUAUCCCUCCUGAGCCGCCACAACCACCGCCUGCUAGCGCAGCCAGCAAGCCGCUUGCCACGCGCGCGACGUCGUGUUUGGCCCCCACCGCCGUUCGGCCGCCUUCCCCGCCGCCGGUCCGCCUACUCUUCUUCGCUAGACUGCUCCCCUUCUCCAUUGAUCACUUGCUCCACUACACGCAAGACGCAACCGUGCAUGCGGCCUGCUAGUGCCUAGCUUCCUCCCCCUCUCUAUGCGCGCCACUCCAGGCGUCGAGCUCGCCUCUGCGGGACCGUAGCCCCCACCCCUCAUUGGCUCUCUGCGCGAGCGUGAUCGCGCUUCCGCAUCCCAUGUUCAAUGGAGCCCUAAAGGUUGUGCUUCUACGAAGAUCCAAAAUUCCUUGGACCAAAAGCUUCAGCUUCCAAUAGUUGUUAAGGGCCUUGUACUGCGAACUCUGGACAAAGUUUCAUGCUGCUACAAAGGGAGUUGCCGAGCUUUCUCAACAAUAGCGAUCGUGGAAGGCGUCAACCAGAUUGUGGAUGUUGAAACUAUUCUAUCUACUUUUGGAUCUAAGUUAUAGGAUAUUUAAACAUUUUUAAUGUUUGAUACCUGGAUGCUUUAUGCUUUAGUUAUAUGUGGAUGCUAGAAAAAGUUGUGUACACAUGUUUUUGACAAAAUUGUACACACGAUUUGGAUUGCAUUCAAUUGAAUGAUCGUUUUAUUAACUGACGGUGAAUUAAAUACGUU